rnacentral:rRNA from 1 species
AUUGAACGCUGGCGGCAGGCCUAACACAUGCAAGUCGAACGAGUGGCGGACGGGUGCGUAAUGUCUGGGAAACUGCCUGAUGGAGGGGGUUAACUCCUGGAAACGGUAGCUAAUACCGCAUACCAUCAGAUGUGCCCAGAUGGAAUUAGCUAGUUGGUGGGGUAACGGCUCACCAAGGCGACGAUCCCUAGCUGGUCUGAGAGGAUGACCAGCAACACGGGAACUGAGACACGGUCCAGAUUCCUAGGGGAGGCAGAAGAGGGGAAUAUUGCACAAUGGGCGAAAGCCUGAUGCAGCAAUGCCGCGUGUAUGAAGAAGGCCUUCGGGUUGUAAAGUACGUUCAGCGGGGAGGCGUUACCCGCAGAAGAAGCACCGGCUAACUCCGUGCCAGCAGCCGCGGUAAUUC